rnacentral:lncRNA from 1 species
ACAGUGUAGUUGCAAAAGUGAGAAUAGGUUGGGGGUACCGAUGCAGAGUCCCUGGGGGAGAGGCCAUCUCUCAAAGAUGUGAAGAUAAAACCUGGAUUGGAUUGGAGACCCCAAGAUGUUGGAGAUACCAAAACCCUGAAUUACCCACUGAGGAGAGUUGCAGACCAGGUGACCCAGCCACAGAUGCCUCUCCAGAGCCUGAGCGAGUCUGCUUUAUGUCUAGCCUCCCCAAACACAAGCUAAGUAAACCUCUUUUCUUUACAAAGCUACCCCAUCUUCAUUUCAGCAAUAGAAACCUUGUGAGUACAAUCACAUUCUAGCCCGAGGAAUGACUUGGCUUGUCACUGAGGGACUCUGGAUGCUGAAGUGCCCGGCACCUGGAAUACCUGAGCACAGAUGAUAGUAGCUCUGCUCUGGCACUUAUGAAGGGAGAAGAUGUUGGUAUCCAAAUCAGACCAUCUUUCUGUCAGCCUGUCCAUCAUAAGAGUGAGGUGGAGCCAUGGGAUCCCACAGAGGACUUGCCAAGUUAGCAUUCAAAUUGGUUCCUCUACACUGUAGAAUAUAUGUGAUUAUGCUGGGAAGAUGAUGAACACCAAAUUCCAUGGCCAGAAGUAGAACAAGCAAACAAGCAAGGAUGCAUGCAUUUCUUCUCUGUUCUUGACUGUGAUGUGACAUUCUAAUUCCUUCCUUGACUUCGCCACAACAAUGGACUGUAACCUGGAACUGUAAGCCACAUAAACCCUUCUUUCCCUAAGUUGCUUUUUGUCAGGGUGGUUAAGCACAGCAAUGGAAAUGAAACUAGAACAGGUGAAUUCCUAGUUCAUCGAGAGACCCUGUCUUGAAAAAUAAGGACAGUGAUGGAGGUAGACACUGAAAUCUAUGAAAUCUAUUUACACACACACACACACACACACACACACACACACACACACACACACACACCAGAAUAAACAAAUACAUGACCCUAUUCCAUCCCAUCUCAUGAUGGAUUAUGGGAAGGAACCAAAGGCAUCAAAGACUGAAGAAGUUCCCAACAGCUUGUUCAUUUCCUCAUCCUCUGGUCAACCUCAGAUCUGGCACCACCCUCACCUGUGUUUUUCUACAUCUUUCUGCUUACAACUGUAUUUCCUAUCUCUAUAUUCAGAUGACACCAAAUUCCAUGGCCAGAAGCAGAAGCCCCUUGGGAUGGUUUGUAUAUGCUCUGCCCAGGAGUGGCACUAUUAGGAGGUAUGGCCUUGUUGGAGUUGAUAUGGCCCUGUUGGAGUAGGUGUGUCACUGUGGGUGUGGGUUUUAAGACCCUCAUUCUAGCUGCCUGGAAGUCAGUAUUCUCCUAUCAGCCUUCAGAUGAAGAUGUAGAACUCUCAGCUCCUCCUGCACCAUGCCUGCCUGGAUGCUGUCAUGUUCUCACCUUGAUGAUAACAGACUGAACUCUGUACCUGUAAGCCAGCCCUACUUAAAUGUUGUUCUUAUAAGAGUUGCCUUAGUCAUGGUGUCUGUUCACAGCAAUAAAACCCUAACUAAGGCACCCCUAAAAUUCUAAACACAGCUGGGAAAACAUUCUAGAAUAUUUGCAUAUGGCAGUGAAUACCCUACUUCUAAGCCAAACUCAAUCACUGGCAGGGAGAACUGGCAGCAUGAGGCUGGUAGAAGACUAAGUUACAUGAUGAUAGAAUCACAUUUAAUAAAAGCCAAGGAGCACCUGAAUUCACGUGGUGGGAUUGGAGGUGCAGGGAAAAGACCAGUAGCCAGGCAGAGGUGGGACUGGAGUCUUGGAGGGAUGCUCCCUAAGGAACUGGAAGUUCUGUGAGUUCUGGAGGGAUCUCUGCUUAGCCAGAAGUCCAAUUCAUUCCACAAAUAUUCCUUUGCCUGUAGUCUAGACACAAGACUAACUACAAAGAGAAGAACCAGGGAUGGCUUAAGGCAAGGCAGACAUUCAUUCCUGAAUAUUGUCCCCAGGAAAAGACAGAUUCCAAGUAUUUUACAUUGAAAAUUUUCUCUUCCUUCCUCCCCCCUCCCCUCCCACUUCUCUCUUCUUUUAGCUUUUCUCUUCUUUUUCUUCAUUCUUUCCUUCCCCUCUCCUCCUCAUUAACCAUUAUUACCAUCAUCAUCAUCUGCACCAUCAAUACCUUUUCUUUGAUAGUGUGGGCUAUUAAAUCCAGGGCUUUGUUCAUGCUAGGCAGGCGUCUACAACUGAGCUACAUCCCCACACUCCCCAAGUCUUCCUUUUUUAGAACAGAGUCUCACUGUGCAGCAUCGCAGCUCUCUCUGUAGAACAGGCUGUCCUCAAAUCUGUCAAGCUGUGCCUUCUGAAUGCUGGGAGGGACUGAAGGUGUGCACCACUGUGCUUGCCCUGUUUCUGUUUACCCACUUAUUAAGAAACGACAAGUGCCAGGGAAGAUGCCUUUGCAUGGAAUGACCCCCACUGAUGCUCAUUUGUAUGUUCAUACCGGCCUUCCAACAUCAACAGUGAAGAAAAUACACAAAGAGGUUUGAAUACAGAUUCAGUACGUUUCCUAGGGAUAUGGCCUCAUGGAGAAAACGGCUGUAUGUUUUUUUUUUUUUGUAAACAAAACAUUUAAAGAUUGGCUUAAAACUCGAGCUCUGCAGAUAAGUACAUACCUACCAGGAAGC